rnacentral:rRNA from 1 species
UACGGAGGGGGCUAGCGUUGUUCGGAAUUACUGGGCGUAAAGCGCGCGUAGGCGGACCUGCAAGUCGGGGGUGAAAGCCCGAGGCUCAACCUCGGAACUGCCUUCGAUACUGCGGGUCUCGAGUCCGGGAGAGGUGAGUGGAAUUCCUAGUGUAGAGGUGAAAUUCGUAGAUAUUAGGAAGAACACCAGUGGCGAAGGCGGCUCACUGGCCCGGUACUGACGCUGAGGCG